rnacentral:rRNA from 1 species
GACGGCCUUCGGGUUGUAAACCUCUUUCAGUAGGGAAGAAGCGAAAGUGACGGUACCUGCAGAAGAAGCGCCGGCUAACUACGUGCCAGCAGCCGCGGUAAUACGUAGGGCGCAAGCGUUAUCCGGAAUUAUUGGGCGUAAAGAGCUCGUAGGCGGUUUGUCGCGUCUGCCGUGAAAGUCCGGGGCUCAACUCCGGAUCUGCGGUGGGUACGGGCAGACUAGAGUGAUGUAGGGGAGACUGGAAUUCCUGGUGUAGCGGUGAAAUGCGCAGAUAUCAGGAGGAACACCGAUGGCGAAGGCAGGUCUCUGGGCAUUAACUGACGCUGAGGAGCGAAAGCAUGGGGAGCGAACAGGAUUAGAUACCCUGGUAGUCCAUGCCGUAAACGUUGGGCACUAGGUGUGGGGGACAUUCCACGUUUUCCGCGCCGUAACUAACGCAUUAAGUGCCCCGCCUGGGGAGUACGGCCGCAAGGCUAAAACUCAAAGGAAUUGACGGGGGCCCGCACAAGCGGCGGAGCAUGCGGAUUAAUUCGAUGCAACGCGAAGAACCUUACCAAGGCUUGACAUGAACCGGUAAUACCUGGAAACAGGUGCCCCGCUUGCGGUCGGUUUACAGGUGGUGCAU